GAGGGUAAAGCUCAGUGGUAGAGCAUGUGCUUAGCAUGCACAAGGUCCUGGGUUCAAUCCCCAGUGCCUCCA
rnacentral:tRNA from 1 species